CUCUCUUCUUCUGCACCAGAAAAACCCAACCCCCUACAGCCUUGCCCCAUACGUGAAACCCACGCGCUUUCCUUGCAACAUCAAUUCCCCACGCGCCACCUCCACAUAAUGUCAAACAACAAAUCAAUCUCAUCCUUUUUUCCGUCAUUGAGUCUCACUGACCUACUACCGUUGAAUUCUUCGUACCAUUUCGAUGGCCAAAACUAUCUCCAGUGGGCCCAACUAAUUAGAACAACUCUCAAAGAUUGCAACAAACUAAACCACAUAGAAUCAAAACCACUAACAGAAAACGAUCCAAAUUUCAACGAAUGGGACAUUCAAGACUCUAUCAUCAUGACAUGGUUAUGGAAUUCCAUGAUUCCAGACAUUGGUCGAAACUGCAUUUCAUUUCAUUUUAACAUUGGUCGAAAUUUGGGAUAAUUUGCAACAAACUUACUUCAUAAAACAGAAUAUUCCAUCUUGUUAUCAGUUAGAGAAUAAAAUAUUGAACACAAAACAAGGGGCACUUACGGUAAUUGACUAUUAUCUAAGUUUGAAUAUGUUGUGGUUUGAGUUAGACAUAUAUAAUAAUUUGAAUUUUAAAAUGAAGUGUAAUGAGGAUUCUGCUAUAUACACAGUUUAUUGAGAAAUCAAGAGUCUUUAAGUUUCUUUCGGGAUUGAACUCCGAAUUUGAUCAUAUUCGAGUUCAGAUUUUGGAAAAGGAUAAACUUCCUUCUCUUACAGAGGUGAAGAAGAACGUCGCACCUUGGCUGCGGGAAAGUCUAGUCGAGAUGAUCGCUGGUGCAGUCAUUGUGGGAGAUUUAAUCACACUAAGGAGAUGUGUUUUAAGCUUCAUGGGAAGGAGAAGGUACUUGGAGGAUUGAAGGGUGUGUCUCAGAGGCGUAAAAAUAAAACAGGAAAGGAUGCGGAGGUUGUGAUGGAAGAAUUGGGUUUGAAACAAGGUGAAGGAGAAGUUUCAAAACCACUUAGUAAAGAAGAGUUGGAACGGAUACAGACUCUUAUGGAUUAUCUUAAUAAGCCGUCUAGCACUUAUUCUGGUUUUUUCGAUCGGCAAAGAUGUUCAUCAGGGUCUUCCCACCGAGCACUUUCAAGUUAUUACAAGCAAACUACGAAUGAUAGAUAUCUAUUCACUAACUUGAAAUGGAGUGUCUCAGGUAUAUAUAUAUACUAGAUUACUAUACAAUCAAAUCUCUAUUAGUACUCAUAUAUAACUAAAUCUCUACUAGUAUCCUAUACAACCGAAUUCCUAUACUUGAGGGAUAUUUUUAAUAAUAAAACAGAAACAAAUUUUGACAUUCUUCUUCAAGUUGGUGAAUAGGUGUUCUCCUUUCCCAACUUCGAUACAAUUAUUUCAAAGUUGUUGUUGUUUAACACUUUAGUUAGAAGAUCUGCAAGGUUGUCUUGGCAGGAGACAUAUGGAGUGCAAAUUAGGCCACCAUUGAGUUUUUCUUUAAUGAAAUGUCGAUCGACUUCAACAUGCUUGAUUAUGUUAUGCUGCAUUGGAUUAUGUGCUAUGCUAAUAGAGAUUUAUUAUCACAAUAAAUUUUCAUUGGUUCAUCCCACUUUAUCCUCAGGUCCUCCAAAAUGAUCUUCAAUGAUAGUAAUUCGCAUAUCCCUUGUGCCAUUGCCCUAAAUUUUGCUUCCACAUUGGAUCUAGAUACCACAUUUUGUUUGUUACUCUUCCAAGGCACAAGAUUCCCACAUAGGAAAGUGUAAUAUCAUGUGGUUGACUUUCUAUCUACAAUUGACCGUGCAUAGUCAGCAUCAGUAUAUGCUUCAAGACCCACAUUUCCAUUUGGUCUAAACAAAAUUCCUCUUCCUAGAGUUCCUUUCAAAUAUUGCACGAUUUUAAGUGCAGCUUGCAAGUGUACCUCCUUUGGUUGGUGCAUGAUUAACUAAUUAGCCUUACAGUGAAGGCAACAUCAGGUCUAGUAUGUGACAAAUAUAUAAAUCUUCCAACUAAUCUUUGGUACAUUUCCUUAUCAACUGCAAUAUCUUCUUCUGCACUUCUCAACUUUAAAUUUGGAUCUAUUGGUGUAUUCGCUAGCUUGCAUGUUGUCUUGUCCGUUUCUUGCAGAAGAUCUAUGAUGUAUUUUUGUUGGGAUAUGAAAAUCCCUUUCUUAGAGUGAACCACUUCAAUUCCCAAGAAAUACUUCAAUUUUCCCAAGGUUUUAAUCUCAAAUUCCUUGGCUAGGUGUUGUCCUAACAGUUGUUGCUCUUUUUCAUCAUCAUCGGUCACUAUAAUGUCGUCCACAUAUAUUAGUAACACUGUUACCACCCCUGACUCAAAGUGUUUGAUAAAGAGGGUAUGAUCUCCUUGGCUUUGUUUGAAGCCUAGAAUCACCAUGACUCUAGCAAACCUCUCAAACCACGCUCAUGGCGAUUGUUUAAGCCCAUAUAGAGCCUUUUUUAGCUUACAAAUCGUGUUGGCAGCAAUAUGCUCAAUGUAUCCAGGGGUAAGUCCAUAAAAAUCUCUUCUUCUAGAUCUUUAUGGAGGAAGGCAUUUUUUACAUCAAAUUAGCUGCUAGAGAAUAUAUCAUCCUGACGGUAUUCAUUUUUGCAACUGGAACGAAUGUUUCCAAGUAAUCUACUCCAUACGUUUUAGUAAAUCCUUUAGCCACCAACUUUGUCUUGUACCUUUCAAUAGACCCAUCAACCUUGUUCCUUAUAGUGUAUACCCACUUGCAUCUUGCAGGAUCUUUUCCAUUUGGUAGAAGGACCAAAUCCCAAGUACCAUUUUUGUCCAAUGCUUCUAUUUCCAAGUCCAUGGCUUGUUUUCAUUUCCUAUCAAACAAUGUUUUAGAUAGAGAGGUAGGUAUAGUGGUAGUGUUCAAGCUUGUGAGAAAGGCUUUAUGGGUAGGUGAAAAUUGUUCAAAGUAUAGGCAGUUGGAUAAAGGGUUGAGUGGUUUAUUGGCACAUGUCCUAGUAUUCUUCCUACGGGCAAUUGGGAUAUGAAGGUCAUCAUAAGUUGGUCGUGUGUUGGAUUCUAAUUCUUGUGCUUAGGUAAAUUCAUAGAUUGGAUCACUAGAGUUUGAAGCGUCAAGGGAAAUUACCUCAUAUAAGGUCGAAUUUGAGUCAUGGAUGUGAAUAGAUUCAGGAAUGACCUUUGUUCUUCUUAUAUAUACUAGAUUCUUCCCAUAUCUUACAUUAGUGACAUCAUUUUCAUCUUCCUAAGAAUCAAUUUAAGUCUCUAACAUUAUCAUUUCUUUUAUUUCCAUCUUUUUCAAAAUCAAUUUCAGUCUCAACUUUUGGUUCAUGAGUUAACUUAGGAAGUAGAGGAGACUCAUCUUCCUUACUUGUAUUCUCCCCCUGAAGAUGAGUCUGACCAAAGAAACUUUUUUGUUCAUGGAAGGUGACAUCUCUGGAGACAAAGAAUUUUUGGAAUGGUGGAUGACAACAUUUGUGGCUCUUUUGGGUGGAAGAGUACUCAAUAAAGACACAUUUUAAGGCUCUAGGAUCAAGUUUCCCUCCACAAUCACUAUGAAUAUGGACAAACGACGCACACUUAAAUAUUAUGGGAGUAAGAUUAUUAUUGGUGGACACAUUAUGGUAGAACGAGUACAUGGCCUCCAUGGGAGUUUUGAAGGCAAGGACACCAGAAGGUAAUCGGUUUAUGAGAUUAAUACGAUACAGUUAAAAUUGCCUCUCGCAAAAUUUCUUGGGAACUUUAUUUUGAAAUAACAUUGCUCGAGUUUGAUCUAACAAGUGUCCAUUUUUUCUCUCAACAUUCCCAUUUUGUUAGGGUGUUUUAACACAUGAGGACUCAUGAAUAAUGCCCUCUUUAUGACAAAAAGAAUCAAGUAUGUGAUUAAAGUAAUAUUUGGCAUUAUUAGACCUAAUCCUCUUAAUACUCACUCCAAAUUGAUUUUUUAUCAAGGAGAAGAACUGUACAAACACAGCACUAACUUCAAAUUUUUGUUUUAGCAAGUAACCCGAGUACAGUCAUCAAUAAAGGUUACAAACCAACAGGCUUCUGAUAUACUUGGAACAUUAGAGGGACCUCAUACAUCAGUAUGAACUAAACAAAAUGGAGAAGUACUAAUUUGGUUACUAACUGGAAAAGGUACAUGUUUGUGUUUAGCAAGCUCACACACCCAGUGAAAUCUUUCUACCUCUAAUUUUUUGAAGAAGGAAGGAAACAAUUGUUUUAUGACUCUAAAUGAAGGAUGACCUAGACGACAGUGGUACAAAAUGACCUUGUCCCUAUUGGUCUUUAUUGAUUUAGAAAAAAAGUAGUUGGUAUUGUUGAGUAGAUUUGGAGGAAGAUUUUGAUUAUCCAAGUAAUAAAGACCAUUCCAUUCUCUAGCAUUACCAAUUGCCCUCCUGAAUUCUUGUCCUGAAAGGCACAAGAUUUGUUAUAAAAAACAACAUUACAUGAUAGGCCUUGUGUUAGUUUUUGUAUGGAAAUUAAGCUAGUGGACAAUUUAGGAAUAUGAAGGACAUUUCUUCGAGUUAUGGAUGAGUUUAUUUGGACAUCUCCUUGACCUGCUGCAACUAGAAGGGUACCAUUUGUUGUGGAUAUUUUCUUGUUGUUAGGGCAAGGUGAAUAAGUGGAGAAGUGUGUAGGUAAGGGUGUCAAUUGGUCAGUGGCUCUAGAAUCCAGUAUCUAAUAUUGGUUAUAGGUUGUAUCUGAAGCAUUAAGUCCAAAAGAAAAUUGAAACUUACCAGGAGGAAGUGUACUUGUAUAUACCUGAAAACUAGUACCUGUUGGUUUCUCCAACUUACUAAAAAGAGAUCUAAUCUUCUCUACUUCAUCUUCAUUGAGUUGGGCCAAUCCACUUUUGCUUUCUUUAACUAUCAUAUUUGUAAAAUCAGCAUACAACCGAUAUUAGAGACGAAAGAUUGAUCUAUCAAACAAAACAAACUUCAAACAUUCAAAAUAUAACCACAAACUGUAAGUGUGCUACAAUGCUGCAACAGAAAAGUCCGAGCAAAAAACCGUGUGAGCUUCAAAUGGCCCACAAACGAAAGUGCUCCGAUCAGAAAGUGAACCCCCAAAAUGAACGAGAAACGGCUGAUCUACAAUCUGGUUGAAAAUGGCGGUGAACGGAUAUCUAGAAGGUGCUGUGUGGGCACCACGCGUCGAAGAUGAUGUCGCAAGUAGGCGUCACGUGCCGAACUGGAAGGCGCACGUGAAUAGGUCGUUAACAACGAUGCUUUGGGUUUCAGCCGAUCUAAUAGAGGCGAGUCUUGUGAUGUGGGCGGUGGUGUGAAGUAGACGGUUAAACGGACGUGAACAGUAACAGCGUGAAUAUUGAACACACUAUGACAGCGAACAAGCCAAAAAGAAAUCUCAAGUUGUAGAUGAAAGCAACAAAAAGGGCCACAACGAAGGUGGCUAAGGUUUCAGGAAAAAAGAAACCACAAUGAAGGCGGCAGGAGACUCCCAAAGACUGAGAGCAAGAAUUAGGGUAAAAAAUAUGUUGAUAAUACAUCAUAUAUAUAUAUACACUAAUUUACUAUACAGCCAACCCCAAUCAGUACUCAUAUAUAACUAAAUUCCCACUAGUACUCCUAUACAAUCGAAUCCCUAUACUAAGGGAUAUUUUUAAUAAUAAAAAAGAAACAGAUUUUGACAGAGUGUUGUGUUAUAUAAUUAGUAGCAAUUUGCUUCCUUAGUUAGGACAAAUUUAAUUACAUAUGAUUUGUACAGUAUUUCUUCUCUUGUGAUUCCUUAAUUAUGAUAGAAGUAGUCUAUACUUAUGCUGUAUGAUCACUUUCUCUAUAAACUGAAUUAGAAAUUCAGUUCCUUAUCUCAGCUAACAAUAUUUUUAUAAAACAAACCAGAAAUACAAAGAUUUAAUUAAAUGCAAAAACUAUAAUGGAGUUACUAGCUAAUGCAAUCAAAAUCUGAGUUCCUUCAUGUGUUCAAAUCUCUGUGCAUAUGUUUAGAUUACAAAUUGAUUAAAUCAGGAUGAAACAUUUUCCAUUUGGUUUUAGGCAUUUAACUAGAAGAUGCCUUACCUAUCAACAAUCAAAUGUGAGUCUAUGAUAUUAAAAUGAUUAUACUAACAUAUGUGAUUGGUGAACAUUGUGAAUCCAGUUACUUCUAGAGGCAGACCGAAUAUAAGUAAAACAUAACCAAACCUCAGAAGUGACAAAAUGAGUUGCCAAUCCAGCUGCAAUUAAUUCCAUUCCAUUCAACCGCCCUCCGGUAAGUGCCAAGUAUUCGCCU